AUGGGGCGCUACGGGGCAGCCACGUGGUGGCUAUGGGGCAGCUAUGGGGCACCGUGGGGCGCUAUGGGGCAGCCAUGGGGUGACUAUGGGGCCAGUGGGGCAGCUCUGAGGUGGCUAUGGGGCACCAUGGGGCAGCUAUGGGGCGCUGUGGGGCGCUAUGGGGCAGGCUCAGCUGUGGGGCAGGAGGGCGCGCAGGGAGGGCUGGGGGCUGUGCCCGGGGGGCUGCUCCCCCCCCCCCCCCCCCCCCCUCCCCCCCCCGCUGCCUUCGGCCUCCUCCUCAUCCUCGGGGGGCGCCGGGGGGCGGGGCCGGAACGAGACCACCCAGGGCUGCCCCUCCCCCAGGCAGCCGCAGGGGGGGGCGCGAGACUUCAGGGGGGGCAGGGGGCGGGGCCUGGGGGGGGGAGGGAGGGGUCAGGAUAGGGGGCGGGACCCCCCCCGGAGCCCCAUAAGUAAAAAGGGACCCCCAGGGACCCCACUUGGGGGGCAAGGACCCCCCCAAAACCCCAGGGACCCCCCCCGAUGACCCCAUAACCCCAAAGGGACCCCCCCAAAAAUCCACUUAUGGGGCAGGGACCCCCCCCAAAUACUCAGGGACCCCUCCCCAAAACCCCAUAACCCCAAAGGGACCCCCCCAAAGACUCCACUUGGGGGGCGGGGAGCCCCCCA
rnacentral:lncRNA from 1 species